rnacentral:rRNA from 1 species
UACGUAGGGUCCGAGCGUUGUCCGGAAUUAUUGGGCGUAAAGGGCUCGUAGGUGGCUUGUCACGUCGGGUGUGAAAGCUUGGGGCUUAACUCCAGGUCUGCAUUCGAUACGGGCUGGCUAGAGGUAGGUAGGGGAGAACGGAAUUCCUGGUGUAGCGGUGAAAUGCGCAGAUAUCAGGAGGAACACCGGUGGCGAAGGCGGUUCUCUGGGCCUUACCUGACGCUGAGGAGCGAAAGCGUGGGGAGCGAACAGG